UACGUAGGAGGCAAGCGUUGUCCGGAAUUACUGGGCGUAAAGCGCGUGUAGGCGGGUAGGUAAGUCUGUUGUGAAAGCGCCUGGCUUAACCGGGCGAGGUCGAUGGAAACUAUCUACCUAGAGGCCGGUAGAGGGGGGUGGAAUUCCGGGUGUAGUGGUGAAAUGCGUAGAGAUGCGGAGGGACACCGAUGGCGAAGGCAGCCCCCUGGGUCGACACUGACGCUCAGGCACGAAAGCGUGGGGAGCAAACAGG
rnacentral:rRNA from 1 species